rnacentral:sRNA from 1 species
CCACAAUCAUUCUUCGACGACACACCAGUAGCAUCUUCCGACGAUCCACCAGACUUCGAAAGUCACAUUGUACUACGUGUACCUGAAGAUUGUGUGGGUAGAAUCGAGAAAAUCAUUCAAUCGGACGGAAAACACGAGGAAUUCUCGUUAAAUUUGAAUUCAGACGCUCGAAAUUCCACAGUCAGAAUCGGAAAUCAACUGUUAAAUGGAAAAAUCCUGGAUCUUCCCACUAUAACAGAAAUCCACAAGACAUUAGACAACAAAAGCCUGUAUAAAGUCGCAGAUGUCUCACAGAUCCUUGUCUGCACCCAUGAUUCCAUCAAUUCAAUAGCUUCAAGCUCUGAAGAUGCUGCUCAGAAAGCAGCAGCGGCAAAGGCAAAACAAUGGCAAUACCCGCACGGACUGACGCCUCCCAUGAAAUCGGCGAGGAAGAAGCGAUUUCGAAAGACUAAGAAGAAAAAGUUUAUGGAUGCUCCAGAGGUUGAGAAGGAGCUCAAGAGACUGCUCCGUGCAGAUUUGGAAGCGGAUAGUGUGAAAUGGGAAAUUGUGGAAGGGAAUAAGGAAGGUGCGACGGAUGAAG